UGGGGAAUAUUGCGCAAUGGGCGAAAGCCUGACGCAGCGACGCCGCGUGAGGGAUGAAGGUUUUCGGAUCGUAAACCUCUGUCAGAAGGGAAGAAACCGCACUGUGCUAAUCAGCAGUGCCUUGACGGUACCUUCAAAGGAAGCGCCGGCUAACUCCGUGCCAGCAGCCGCGGUAAUACGGAGGGUGCAAGCGUUAAUCGGAAUUACUGGGCGUAAAGCGCACGUAGGCUGCUUUGUAAGUCAGGGGUGAAAUCCCACGGCUCAACCGUGGAACUGCCUUUGAUACUGCUUAGCUUGAAUCCGGGAGAGGGUGGCGGAAUUCCAGGUGUAGGAGUGAAAUCCGUAGAUAUCUGGAGGAACAUCAGUGGCGAAGGCGGCCACCUGGACCGGUAUUGACGCUGAGGUGCGAAAGCGUGGGGAGCAAACAGG
rnacentral:rRNA from 1 species